GACGAACGCUGGCGGCGUGCCUAAUACAUGCAAGUCGAGCGCAGGAAGCCGUCUGAACCCUUCGGGGGGACGACGGUGGAAUGAGCGGCGGACGGGUGAGUAACACGUAAAGAACCUGCCCAUAGGUCUGGGAUAACCACGAGAAAUCGGGGCUAAUACCGGAUGUGUCAUCGGACCGCAUGGUCCGGUGAUGAAAGGCGCUCCGGCGUCGCCCAUGGAUGGCUUUGCGGUGCAUUAGCUAGUUGGUGAGGUAACGGCCCACCAAGGCGACGGUGCGUGGACGACCUGAGCGGGGGCCCGGCCACACUGGAACUGCGACACGGCCCAGAUUCCUAAUGGGGGCAGCAGUAGGUAAUCUUCCACAAUGGACGACAUUCUGAUGGAGCAACGCCGCGUGAACGAUGAAGGCUUGCGGGUCGUAAGGUUCUAUUGUAAGGGAAGAACAAGUGCCGCAGGCAAUGGCGGCACCUUGACGGUACCUUGCGAGAAAGCCACGGCUAACUACGUGCCAGCCGCCGCCGUAA
rnacentral:rRNA from 1 species